CCUUCGAUGAUGAUCCACUCUUCCCUUGACUUUCGUUCUCCUGAGCUUGCUGAAGCAAAGCUUGUUUGACCUGAGGAGG
rnacentral:snoRNA from 1 species